CUGCAGUGCUUUGCGUGCUCUCUCUCUCUCUCUCUCUCUCUCUCUCUGUGUGUGUGUGUGUGUGAGAGAGAGAGAGAGAGAGAGAUUGUGGCAUGCAAGAAUAAAAUG